rnacentral:rRNA from 1 species
GACGAACGCUGGCGGCGUGCCUAAUACAUGCAAGUCGAGCGAAUCAAUAGGAGCUUGCUCCUGUUGAUUAGCGGCGGACGGGUGAGUAACACGUGGGCAACCUGCCUAUAAGACUGGGAUAGCACCGGGAAACCGGUGCUAAUACCGGAUAAUCCUUUUCCUCUCAUGUGGAAAAGCUGAAAGUCGGUUUCGGCUGACACUUAUAGAUGGGCCCGCGGCGCAUUAGCUAGUUGGUGAGGUAACGGCUCACCAAGGCGACGAUGCGUAGCCGACCUGAGAGGGUGAUCGGCCACACUGGGACUGAGACACGGCCCAGACUCCUACGGGAGGCAGCAGUAGGGGAUCUUCCACAAUGGACGAAAGUCUGAUGGAGCAACGCCGCGUGAGCGAUGAAGGCCUUCGGGUCGUAAAGCUCUGUUGUUAGGGAAGAACAAGUACCGGAGUAACUGCCGGUACCUUGACGGUACCUAACCAGAAAGCCACGGCUAACUACGUGCCAGCAGCCGCGGUAAUACGUAGGUGGCAAGCGUUGUCCGGAAUUAUUGGGCGUAAAGCGCGCGCAGGCGGUCCUUUAAGUCUGAUGUGAAAGCCCACGGCUCAACCGUGGAGGGUCAUUGGAAACUGGGGGACUUGAGUGCAGAAGAGGAAAGCGGAAUUCCACGUGUAGCGGUGAAAUGCGUAGAGAUGUGGAGGAACACCAGUGGCGAAGGCGGCUUUCUGGUCUGUAACUGACGCU